rnacentral:misc_RNA from 1 species
GAUGAAGAACGCAGCGAAAUGCGAUACGUAAUGUGAAUUGCAGAAUUCAGUGAAUCAUCGAAUCUUUGAACGCACAUUGCGCCCGCCAGUAUUCUGGCGGGCAUGCCUGUUCGAGCGUCAUUUCAACCCUCAAGACCCCUUCGGGGGACUUGGUGUUGGGGACCGGCACAGGGGCCUGCCUGCUUGUCUUGCAGCGCCCUCGCCGCCCCCGAAAUGAAUUGGCGGCCUCGUCGCGGCCUCCCCUGCGUAGUAGCACAACCUCGCAACGGGAACGUGACGGCGGCCACUGCCGUAAAACAACCCCAAUUUUAUUAGAGUUGACCUCGAAUCAGGUAGGAAUACCCGCUGAACUUAAGCAUAUCAAUAAGCGGAGGA